GCACCGCCUUUGAGCGCUCGCUGCGCCUGCGCGUGGCGCCAGGGACCCAGGCUGCGGCGGCAGAGCCCGCGCUUGCGCGUCGCGGGCAGACGGU
ensembl:snoRNA